AGCCGCAGAUCGGAUUUAUUCAUUCAUACAUUCACCUCGUGAUUCAUCUCUAAAAUCCCUAACAUCCCGACAAUGAUUCCAAUCGAUCUUCCUUGGGUUUUCUCCGAUGAUUUGUCCGGAGAAUCUGGAGCUUUGACUGCUGGCUUCAAUAUCUAGCCUCUGCUGAGGCUGUUGCCCAGGUUGGUUUCUCGAUCUUUACCUUCUUUACAGUUCGUGAUGUAUUUGUCUAUCCGCGAUGAGAUUAGACAUAGAUUGUUGAUGUUUGCAUAGAUUGGGGUCGAUUCGCUUGUUUCUUGCGUUUCCAUGGAUGUCGGUUAUGGGUUGAUUUCUGUUGGGUAACCUGAGUCUGAGUUCGAUUGCUUUCGAUAUAUGAAAGAUUCCUUUAAGUUUUCUUUUAGAUUUGAAUGUUUCUUGCAAAUAUACGACUUGUCAAUCUUGAAUUUAGCAUUACAAGUGGUAUUAGAGCUGUAUGGAGCUUGAUUUGUUUACUGGAAAGUUUGAUUUCGAGUUCUAAUGCUGAACAACUUGUUCUCAUUGUAAAGCUAAAAGGUGUUUUUGUAAAUAGACUCAAGAUUGUCUUUGAAAUCUUUUUUUUUUGAAACACUAUUGAAGUGAAGCCUAUUUUUAGUGGCGUUUUUUCACUUAUGUAAAGUUUGUUUCUCCUUGUGAAGGACUAAAAUAAAUCAUAUAAAAGAUUGAAAUCUGAAAUCAUCCUUAUGCGGUUGAUUUGUAUGGUGUUCUUUAGUUGAAUCAUCCAAACCUUACUAAUCUGUGUAUUAAGUGCGCAGGGAAUUAGAUUUUGAUAGGUGGAGUCCUUGCGGAUUAUGAAAAGAAAGUCAAAGAAUUGUUGCAGGGCUAGGAGUCGGUAACAAUUCGUUUUUUCCAUAUUAUAUGUGAGAUUUAUUUGUGCCGUGGUUGUUUUGUGGCAGUUCUGUGACUGUUGCGACUGUUUUGUAUGUAUCUUGCAAAUUUGUCAAGUCUGUUAGAAUUUUUUGUUGCAUAUACCAACAAUUAGUUGAGUUGGUUUCUUGAAAACAAGAAAUUGCUCCUUAAAUCCGUUAGUAUUUGUGUGUUUUGCUCUUCUGUGUUUAGUUGCAAAUCUGUUUUGAGUCUCUGCAUAUCCAUUGGUGGUCGUUUGUGUUAAAACAUUAAAACCUUUUUUUUUUUUAAUAUGUAUGUGAGUGAUUGUGGCUGAUUUAGUGAUAUUUUAGGUGAUUCGAUUUGUUUUCUUUAAAUAUGUUCUUAGCUGAAACCAUUUCUAAAAUCAGAUUUGAUAAAAUGGAAAAUCAAACCUACUUUAAUAUACAACCAUUUGAUAAAAAAUUGAUUUUGCUAUUUGAAAACAAAAGAUGAGAAGUGUUCUUAUUACUCAAAGAUUGAUUAAAGCCGUUGAACUAGAGCAAACAGCAGAUCUUCAUCUUGCUAAGAGGAAUGAGUUGAAUGAGCUAGCGUCAUCGUGCAUUAUUUUGAAUCUAGUUUACCAUGUAAUUAGAAAAUUAGGGGUUUAUGAAUCGGCUAAGGACUUGUGGGACAAAUUAAACAAUAUAUUUACUGAAACUUCUCUUCAAAAUAAGAUACACCUUCUAGAAAAAUGCUUUAGCUUCAAAUUAGACCUUUCUAAGGCAAUAGAUGAAAAUUUAGAUAUUUUUACCAAGUUAAUUCAAAAUAUAAAACUGACGGAGGAUAAAAAUAUUGAUAAUUAUAGUUUUAGUAUCUUGUUAAAUGCAAUCUUUAGUUAAUAUUCAGAUGUAAAAUCAACAAUAAAAUAUGACAGGGAUGUGAUUACACGUGAUGUUGUUAUUAAUGGUCUAAAAAGUAAAGAAAUGGACUUGCAACUUUAUAAAGCUAGUAAAAAGUCACAUGGUGAAGUCAUGCAUGUUAGGGGUAGAUCUCCCUUUAGACAUAGUAAGAAUGGUUCCUUUCCAAUAAGCAAGGGAAUAGGUCUACAAUAAGUCUAAGAAUAGGUCUUAAACCCCAUCUAAGUAUGUUAAACGUUGUUUUAAUUGUAGGGAUCCUUCACAUUUCAUUAGGAAUUGUCCUAAGAAAAACCGUAACAAUGUUAAUAAUAGUAACAAUUUGAGCAAUGGGACAACCCUGUUAAUACCACUUUAAAUGAAUAAGUAAACUUGAUUUUACAUGAUGAGUGUUUGGGUGAAAUCUUUGUUGUAACUGCUGAAUGUUCAAAUAUAACUGAUUUUUUUUUAAAAAAAAAUAAAUGGAUAUUAGAUUCGGCAUGCACUUAUGACAUGACUCAUUUCAAAGAAUUUUUUCGCAAUUACAAAACCCUUUCAAAUUGCAACGUGACAAUGACACAUAACAGGGUUUGUAGUGUUAAGGGAUAGGGACUGUUAUUUUUAGGUUUAACUUAAGAAAUGUAUUAAAACUGUGCAAUGUCAGACAUGUUCCUAAUUUGUCUAAUAAUCAGCUUUCUUGUGCUGGUCUGUCAUCCCUAGGGCUAGAAGGAAAAUGAAGAAUGAAUUUUAUGAAAAUUACAAAGAGUUCUUUAGUGGUUUUCAAGGCUGAUUUGAGAAAUAACAUCUAUGUUGUGACUGCUAUACUUGUUGUUAAAUCUGAAGUGUGUGUUAAUGUUGUCCAAGAUACCACUGAACUGUAGCAUAGAAGAUUAGGUCAUUUAAAUAAUAGAGGAUUAGAGAUUUUGCAAAAAUCUGACUAUUCUAGUUUUGAAAAAUUUUCAAAUAUGCCAUUUUGUAAAAACGGCUUUCAUAGAGAAACAUCAUAAAAUGUAUUUUUCCCAAAAACCUAUUGAAAGUAAAAAAAUUUCAAAAGAUAUUUUAGAAUAUCUUCACUCCGAUGUGUGGGGCCCUUCUAGUGAAUCCACACAUGAUGGGAGAAGAUAUUUGUAGUCCUUAAUUGAUGAUAAUUCUUCUGUUAAUGAUUCUAAUAAUACUCAAAAUUAGGUAGAGCAAAAUUACUAUAAUUUAGCCGAAUCAGAGGAUGAAUUAAUGGAGAAUUCUGCUUCAGAUAUGACUAAUACUUAAUCAACCAAUUUUGAUCCAGAUUACAGUGCUGGAAAUUCAGAUGUAGUUCCAAGCAUUAGUUCUGAUAGCUUGAGAGAAGAUGUAAUUUUGAUUGGGAGCUGAAACAAUUAGAUAUAAAAAACAACAUUUAUACAUGGUGAUUUGUACGAAAAGAUAUACUUGAAACAAUCGGAGGGUUAUCUUGAUAAAAGUAAAACUAAUCAUGUUUGUCUUUUAAAGAAAUCACUCUAUGGAUUAAAACAAUCCCCUAGGCAAUGGAACAUAAAAUUUGAUGAAUGUAUGAAAUCUUUGGAAUUCAUUAGUAUUAAAUUUGACCAUUACUUGUAUUUUAAAAUAGCAUGUAAACAUCUCAUCUUCUUGUUGCAUAUUGAUUAUAUAUUGUUAAUGAGUCCUAGUUUGGGAACAAUAAAUCAUGUGAAAGAUUGUUUGAGCAAGAAAUUUGAUAUGAAAUAUUUAGGGGAUGCAAAAGUAAUUCUUGGCAUGAAUAUAGUGAGGGAUAAGAAAGAUAAUAUGCUGUCUUUAAAUCAGUCCACAUAUAUUAAGAAAAUUCUGAAAAAAAUUCCAUGUGUGAUGAAAAAUUCUCAUCAGUUCCUCUAGCAUCUAAUUUCAUUUUGUCAAAAGAACAAUGUCCAAAAUUUGAAAAUAAUGUGAUUUACAUGAAGAAUAUUCCUUACUCUAAUGUCAUAGAAUCUACCAUGUAUUUGAUGGUGUGUAUAAGAACUAAUUUAGCGUAUGCUAUUAGUUGCUUUGAGUUGUUAUAUGUCUAAUCCGGCUGUAGAACAUUGGAAUGCAUUAAAAUGUAUGUUUAGAUAUUUGGUUAGUACAAUUGAUGUUGGUUUAGCCUUUGGUAAGCACAUAAGUUACGAUUAAACUAAAUGAGUAUGUGGAUUCCAAUUACGCAAAUGAUAGAAAUUCUAGGAAGUCAACUACAUUUUAUAUCUUUACUUUAUGUGGAUCAUGCGUUAGUUGGAAGUCACGACUCCAACCUAUAGUUGCUCUUUCGACUACCGAAUAUGAAUAUGUGGCUAUAAUUGAAGCAUUAAAAGAACCUUUGUGGUUAAAGGGUCUGUUAAAAAAAAUUAUUUACUUGCAUAAUGAUGUCACUGUUUUUUCGGAUAGUCAAUCUGGUAUUCAAUUGUAUAAAAAUCGAUUUUUUCAUGAUCGUACCAAACAUAUAGACGUUAGGUUUCACUUUAUUCGUGAUGUUAUGUCUAAAAGUCUUUUGAAACUUGAAAAAUACCAACUGAAUACAACCCUGCGGAUAUGGGAACCAAGGUUUUGUCAAUUACGAAAUUCAAUUUUUCUAAGAAAACAAUGUAUAUUGAUACUUUUGAUUAGAAAUGUGUUUGAAACUAUAAAAACUGUAAUUUACUGUUUUUAAAUUGAUGUUUUAAAACUCUGAUUUGAAAAGAAAAAUGCACUGGUUUCUUUACUUUUAAGAUACUGGUUUAGUUUUGUUUUUGUAUGUUGGGUAAAAUCUGUGAAUACUAAUCGUGUUAAUAAGUUUGCAGGUUAAAAGACUGAAAGUUAUUGAUGCUCGGACAAUGAUGUCACCCAUUUAUAUGCAGUUUCUCCGUACCAAAAAUGGUGGAGAUUUGUGGAGUUUUGAGUAAGUGACUUGUGAGGCCCAAAUGCGCACAACCUGACCCCUACACGAAACCUGGAUCCAGUAACCGCGACAUGACCUGAUUUUAUGCGAGGCUCAAUCAUAACCGUUGGAUAGAGGGUUUUGUUCUGAUCCAUUGGAUCUGCAUUACUUGAUCUAUUAUAUGGAUCUCCUAAACCACCGCAGACCGGAUUUAUUUAUUCAUACAUUCACCUAGUGAUUCAUCUCUGUAAAAAUCCUAACAUCCCGACCGCGAUUCCAAUCGAUCUUCCUUGGGUUUUCUUUGGUGAUCUGUCUGGCGAAUUUGGAGCUUCGACUGCUGGAUUUGAUAUUCAGCCUGUGCUGAGGCUAUUUUUCGGUUUGGUUUCUUGAUCUUUGCCUUCUUUACAGUUCGUGGUGUAUUGUCUGUCCGCGAUGAGAUUAGGCAUAGAUUUUUUAUGCUUCCAUAGAUUGGGGUCAAUUCACUUGUUUGUUACGUUUCCGUGGAUGUCGGUUGUGGUUUAGGGCUUGGUUAUGUGCUACAGUUGGUUUACGGUUGAUUUCUGUUCGGUAACCUAAGUUCGAGUUCGAUUGCUUUCGAUAUAUGAAAUAUUCCUUGAAGUUUUCUUUUAGAUUUGAAUGUGUUUUGUAUAUACCAGACUUGUCGAUCUUGAAUUUAGCAUUGAAAAAGUAUUGAGAUAAAAUAGAGACAUAGCUUUGUAGCAACGUUUCUAUUAUACACUACCAAAAAACAGAGUAAUAACCACGGGCUGAGGAUUCGUAACAAAAUCAUCAUAACAAAUAGAUAUUUUGGUUACGAUAAAAUCCGUGACAAAAGAAUUUUUGUUCGGUCAACGUUUCAGGCACCGUAGUUACGCAGAAUUUUACGUAACAAUUAGGAUAUGGUAAACUUUGGUCAAAAUAAUAUUAGUUAUGAUCAAUUUUCGUAACUAAUGAUAUUAAUUUAUUUUUUUCUAUUUAAAUUUAAUAUUUGAAAUUAAAAUAUAUAUAUAAAUGCACAUUGUCGAGUCUUCACCCAAAAAUCUCAACUACAGAAAUUAGGGCACACAUUCUCCCCCGCCCCUCGCGCUAUUCUCCUUCAUGUGCUGUACUCCCCCCUCCUUGUGCCGACACAACCAUCAUCGUCAAAUUGGUGGGAUUGACAAGCUACUCCGGCGUCGGCGUUCAGGUUCAUGCGAACUAGUCGAUUUUGGGAGUGGGUUAUGGUACGCCAUGAUUGCUUCUUCUUUGUUCAGUUCCUUAGGCUCCUGGAGGUUCUAAAGUUUUCCGAAACCCAGCAUCACCUUCUCCGCUGCAGAAAAUUCUGAAUACCUGGUUAUUAAAUUGUGGAGACAAAGGCGUGCGUGUGAAUUCAUGAUAAGCAGACUUGAGCUUAACGGAAUGUCUGAUUUCUUUUUAAUGCAUUUCCACUGUGCAAAGCUUCUAAGUGGUCUAUGUUUUCUCGGGUGGUGGUGUAGUUAAGUGUUGUAUGCAUUCCCAUAAACUUGAAUUAUUCUUUGGACAUCAGAUUUGAGGAUUUUUUUUCAUAUUCAUACAAAAGGGCAAGAAAAAAUUUAGAAUAGUUAGAAAUUUUUCUUGACAGAAGUAGGGUAUGGAUAAUUCUUCCUGCUCUAGUAUCUAGAGAUGACGGACUAGAAUUUUUGGCGGAGCGUAGAAAUCAUUCAAUUCUCAUGAAAUUGCAUCCAUAAAAGGUUCUGAAGUGGAGAUAAUGGUUGAUUUUAAACCAUGAGCCUUAAUGUUGUGAUAAAUAUUAUGUUUUACUUAUAAAUGCAGUACAUGGACUUAUAGGUACAAAAAUGCGGGUUCUUAAAGCCGAUGCUAUAACUUUGUUCUUUUAAAUUGAGGGUGCACGCCUGUAUUACGAGUUUGAAUGCAUGUUAUGUUGAUGGAAUCACAUGUAUAUUUUCUUUUUAGAUGGAUAAGAGUUGGAUAGACGAUGCAAACCAUAUCUCGGCUCAAUAUUUGGAUGGGGUCAGGGCUUUCUUAGAUUUUGCAUUCAAAGGUAGGAACUCUGAUGCUUCCAUCUACUGUCCCUGUACAUCCUGCGGAAAUCGCAUAACAAAAUCUCGUAGGGAUAUCUUGAUCCAUUGUAUUCACUAUGGAUUCGACCAAUCCUACAAGGUCUGGACUUGUCAUGGGGAAGGAGAGGUGAACUAUGCGGCUGCAGAAGACAAUGUUCCAAUGCGUUGAGAGGAUGAACUAGAACUUCUGUUGCGAGAGUGCGUAACAGCAGAGAAGAUCGGGUUGGGGCCCAGUAACACCAAACCUCUUAAUGAUAAGGAGGAUGAGCAUAUACAUCGUGGCAGUAAGGGGUACAGAAAAAUAUUAGAAGAUCUAGAGAAUGAGUUUAUACCAGAGUGCAAAAAAAUGAGCAGACUCUUGUCUAUCGCUCGCCUUUUGCACUUGAAGGUUUUGUGCCACUGGUCUAAUAAAUCUAUUGACUUGUUGUUAGAGUUUUUAAGGGAUGCACUUCCAGACAAUGUUGUCCUCCUGAAGAACUUGUACGAGGCUAACAAGAUCACAAAGGACUUGGGGUUCAAAUGCAAGACUAUCCAUGCAUGCAUCAACAAUUGCAUGUUGUUUAUCGGGGAAGAUGUUCACCGCGAAGCUUGUGUUGUGCGUGGGGAAAAAAGAUUCACACAGGGAAAGAUAGAUUUCCCGUGAAGAAGUUGAGGUACUUUCCGUUGAUUCCCCGAUUGCAGAGAUGGUUCUUAUCUUCCAAAAUUUUAUCUUCUAUGCGAUGGCAUGCCGAAGGGCGUGUCGAUGAUGGCAAGAUGCAUCACCUAGCAGAUAGUCCUGCGUGGAAGGGGUUUGAUCAUCGGUACCCCACGUUUGCUGAGGGUAUUCGCAAUGUACGCCUUGGGUUGGCCACUGACGGUUUCAACCUCUUUGGAAAUAUGAACGUCAGCUACAACAUUUGGCCCGUAGUACUUGUGGUAUAUAAUCUACCUCCAUGGCUAAGCAUGAAGCAACCAUCGUUCAUCCUUUCUACAAUUAUAGAUGGUCCGCAUGGCCCGGGGGAUCAGAUCGACAUCUUCAUUCAACCUUUGAUGGAUGAGUUGAAAGAGCUUUGGUGUGACGGUGUUCGGACAUACGAUGCGAGAAGCAAAGAGGACUUCUAGAUACGAGCUGCGUUGUUGUGGACCAUCAGUGAUUUUCCAGGUUAUGGUAUGUUGUCAGGGUGGCCAACUCGUGGGGCGAAUGCAUGUCCUGUUUGUGGUGUGAAACUCAUUCCAGGUAUCUAAAAAAUGGCCACAAAUAUAGCUACUGUGGGCAUCGAAGGUUCCUACUGAGUGGGCAUAAAAUGCACUAUGAUAAGCAUGCAUUUUACGGUAUGAUGGACUUUGAGACAAAGCAGUCUCGCUUGACUUCCAAUGAACUGCUCCAACAGCUUCAGGAUGUGCGAACUGAGUAACGUAAGGUUUAUCUGAUUCAGAAGGUUGUUGCAUAGAGAUCCCGAAAGCGUAUCCGGAAGGUAGAUGUGUACCAACGUACAUAGAAAAAAAAAGAGCAUUCUAUUCGAGCUCCCUUAUCGGGCCGAGAAUGAAGUACGUCACAACCUCGACUUGAUGCACAUUGAAAAGAAUGUGUGUGAGAAUGUAUUGUAUACAUUGUUGGGGACUAAAGUAAAAACAAAGGAUAAUCUCAACACAAGGAAAGACUUGCAGUUACUGCAAAUACGCAAUUCUUCGCACCAGGUCUCCGGCCCGAGGGGUUUUAUAUAUUUGCCUGUUGCUACGUACACUAUGAGUAACCCGGAAAAAUGAAUCUUCCUAUCUGUGUUGAAGGAUCUAUGACCACCUCAUGGAUUCAGUUAAAACUUAUCACGUCGUGUUAGGGUACAACAACAACUACUAUGGGGUCUUAAGAGCCACAACUGCCACAUUCUUAUGCAACGACUUCUUCCUAUUACAGCCCGACGAUAUACCCUUGUAACACAAUUAUAUUACUUAACACAAGUCACGCUUCCUCUUAACAUAAUUACAAGUGCCACUUUAUCACUUCUUACAAGUGCCUUCCCAAAAAUGUUGUGCUCGUGUUGAUUGAACUUUGUAACUUCUUCAAUUUUGUGUGCUCAACUAGCAACAUAGUUCGUGAGCUGGAGCGAAUACAGGAAAGAGUUUCGUUGACAUUAUGCCACCUUGAAAAGCUAUUCCCACCUUCAUUCUUCGAUGUGAUGAAGCAUAUGCCAAUGCACUUGGCUGAGGAGGCAAUGGUCAACAGUCCGGUGCAGUACUGGUAGAUGUAUCCCAUUGAGAGGUACCUUGGUACUCUGAAGAGGUACGUACGGAAUCAGGCACAACCUUAGGGUUCUAUUGCACGUGGAUACCUUAUGGAAGAGUGCGUGACCUUCUGCUCAAGAUAUCUCGGGGACAUAGAGACCAAAGAGAACCUGGGUGUUCAAGGUGAUGAAGAAGGGACACAACACGAGAAAGGAUUAUUUGGUUCUAGGUUUAACCUUGAUUACAAUACGAUGCGUCAGAUUCAUGGUUACAUUCUAGGAAAUGUAGAUGCAAUAAGUCCGAUACGAAGGUUAUUUCACCUCAACUUCACAAUAGUUGUAUGCAUUCUUUAUUGAUGUUCAAUAUAUUCCAAUUUUCUUUUGGCACUGUAGGCUUCACGUUGAUAGUAUUAGGUCUAGUCGAGGUCGUGCACCUCCAUGUGAGUAUCCUUUACCAGUAACCCUACACGGGAACACCCCAAAAAAAAUAUCGAAACCAUGAGUGUUCAUCAACUACUUUACGCCAAAUGUAGGUAGAUGAUCCAACGCAUAACGAUGUCUGCCCAAUCUCGGAUUGGAUAUGUGCAUUGGCCCGUGGACCAUCAUGUAGUGCAACACGGUACUCCCCGUGCACUGUUUCUGGAAUACGUUAUCGGGUUAAAGAUCGGGAUGCGGAAAAGAGGACACAAUGUGCAUGUGUUAUGGUUACGGCAGAUAUAGUAAGUUACGACUCCGUUAGGAACCAUAACCCACGAGAAGGUUCCGUGGCAUAUUACGGGAUUGUUACAGACAUUGUAGAGGUGUAUUAUGACAAUCCACAGAAGUACCUUCUUUUAAAAUGUGACUAGGUGGAUUCAGAGAGAGGUGUUAAAGAAGAUGAGUUCAAGUAUAAGCUUGUGAACUUCAAUCAUUUGAUGUAUCCGAAGAACUUGCCCACUGAUGAGCCAUUUCUCCUGGCAACCCAAGCCAAUCAUGUUUGGUACAUUGCAGAGCCGGUUCAGGAGAACUGGAGUGUUGUUGUUCCGGUGACUCGGCGGGACACAUAUGAAGUGUAUAGUACAAUCGAUCAUAGAUUCAGUACUAGGUUUGCUUUAGAUCAGAGGCAAUGCCAGAGAAGCUGCCGACUAUUGGCGAAGGGAAGACGUUGAGGGCCAGCUACUUGAUGGAACAACACAGAUUGACAAUGCAGAGAUUUCAGCUCGGUAUUCGGAGGAAACCUCUGAAGAUGAAUAUCCGUAGUGGUGAAGGAAGAAAGCGGACAUUUUUUAUUGUGUAUAAAUAUUGAUUAGUGAACACCCCCAUUUUGAUGGUGUGACAACCACACUUCCUUUUUGAGUUCCAACAUCAGAAUAAAUUUCACAUCUCAACAUAUGGUACUUUUGUCGUAAGGGUGUAUCAGUUCAAGUACACCUUUGGUAACAACUUUGAGUCAAUCAUCUCAUUUCAUCAACUCUGUUUUCUAUUGUUGUAUGUUCUUCGUCAGCUACUUGCAUUGUUGUAUGAUUUUUCGCACAGCAACCUAAUGCUUAUAUGUUGCAGGUUAUGGCAAAAACUCAAUAAGGUGCCGUAGGAGGGUCCCAGGAUCCGACUGGCUCGCCCGUAAGACGUGUUACCCGGGCAUCCGCACGCAACAGCCCCCUAGAUGGAACUAAUGUAACUAGCAGAAACUCAUCACUUAUGCGGAAAAUUGCAAAGAAAAUGACAAAACGAAAGGGAACGCGGGUCUCACCAUUGCUUCGGCAAGUUCCCUCCAUCACAUUAGAGUGGGAGAAAUGGGGCAAUAUACAUGCUCACACCAAAUCAAUGACAUCGUCCGCUCGACGGGCAGUGCUUCAGGAUUCACAGGAGCCUGCAGAGGUAAUGUUGCUCUUUUGCGUAGAUUGGUUCUUAACUUUCAUUGUCUUAAGUCCAUAAUGUGCUAAUAGUAUUAAACCCAACAAGAACAUAAUGCUAGGGAUAUCCCAACUUCCCUUGAACCAAAUGCACCCAUGCAAGAUGAGGAUGAGACAAUACCCCCCACACAAGUAGAUGACGAAACAAUCCACCGACGCAAGACAUGGAGACUGCAGAGAGUGAUAUGCCGUUCUUGGGUGGGGAAUUGGGGCCCGACCUUGUGGCGAUGGAAGACACAGAGGCGGGAGAUAUGGCACACUUAGAUGGGAUAACAUCAGAUGGCGGUUUGGAAAUCAUCCUUGACAGUUUAUGUUUUGCAUUAACUAAUGAAGAAAGUGCUGCACACGCUCCUUAUAAUAACAUAUAAUAUCUUUUUUGUAUUAGUUGGUUCCUCAAAGAAAAAACAGGGAAGGGGGGUAGCGAAAAUGCCAUAUGGAUGGGGAAAAGAUCACAAGAUACUUGUAUUCAUAUCGUCGGAUGACAAAAGCAUUGUUGGACCUGAGUAAACGAGUACAAGACCGCUAUUAGGGUCAUUGCGCGCAAUGGAGCUCGACUUCCUCUGCAUUACUCGACAUUUGCUGAAAUACUGAAGACAAAGAAACAUGGUGCAUGGAUGGAGGUUCAGAGCAACAACGGAUUACCAAACUCAGCAGAAAAAAUGGUCUUGGCUGACUUAAGGGAGGUUUGGAGACAUGGGAAAUACAACAUCAAAUCAACUUACUUCAACCCAAUCCAGGAUGACAAUGAAGCAUUGAAAAAGGUUCCUUCAAGCUGGAUCGUGGCCGAUCAAUGGCCGAAGUUGGUCAAGUACUGGCAUGAUGAAAAGGUUAAGCUUCAAUCCAAGAAAAAUGCAUCUAACGUAAAGAAGCUUCCUGCAUCGUACUAGGCGGAAGUCCUUCACGACUCUCGCCGAGAAGGUGAAGGGGAAGGACCCCGACAGUUUAGAGAUAUGGAUAUCCAGUCGGACACAAGGCAAGGGAACAAACAAUCAACAAACCGAAGAGAUAUUGACAUAUUUGCAGAAUGAGCUAAACAAGAUUCCCCCAGAAGGGCGGACUCCGGCUAUUCGAGAGACUCUUUAGCGACGGGUUCUUGGGGGAAAGAGCAAAAAAUGCAUUCCGGUCUUUGAUCGAUGGAAUGCUUGCUUGAAGCUCUCUUCCAAUGCUCAAAGGUUGACAGUGCUACGAGUUCAGCUCAUCCCCGCAGUGAUGCAACUGGUUUAAUAGAUACUGUAGCAUUCCAGCAAGGGUGGGAAGAAAUGCAGAGCGGACUUGCAGAGUUCAAAACCAUCAAGGCUGAUGCGUAUGCAUUCAUGCACAGAAACUCCAGAGCACUCGUAUUGAUACGGUCUCUGAGCUUCUUAGGUCUGUCUUUGAAUCACCUAUAAUGGUUGGCACCCGUGUUCUUAUAUUAUCUCGUACUGGAGAGAAGAAAAUUGUUGCUGAAGAACUUCUGCUCUACCCCCCUGCCCCAGGUGACACUUUCCCUAGUCAAGGUUUUUGUUACAUCUGCCACAGUCUCGGACACAUCCCUUAUUUUACCGACAAUUUCUGGGGCAACUACCUUUCGCGAGGUGGUCGGUGAAGAUCCUAUUGAGUGGAACUAUAAGGACAUAUAAAUCUACUUUCACAACUUUCACGUAUUGACUCCAAAAUUAAAAUAAUUAUUACUUAAACUAAACCUUAUUCUGUUGAUAAUUGCAGCUCAUGCGCCACCCCUGAAGCAUAUCAACCGGUUCCUUUAUGUUUUGCCUUUGUUUGCAUUAUCAAUUGCAUGUCGUGGAUGUGCUUGGAUGGUAGGUUCUAAUGGUUAUGUGAAAUACCUUUGGAAUAGAUGCAUAGACAUUUGGAUGUAUAUUUUGUGUGGUAAGAAUUGUUGUCAUGGAUUGAUGGAUUUCCCCACUUGUUUAUUAGUAGGUUGGAUGUUUGAAAUGCUUGUAUUUUGCAGAACAUAAUGUCAAGUGGAGAUGUUUCUAGCCUUGUUUGAUGGGUUGAUUUACUUUGUUUUUUGGUGGAGGACAUCGACUAAUAAAUAUUGUUAUGUUAA